UCCGACGGGAGGCAGCAGUGGGGGAUAUUGCACAAUGGGGGAAACCCUGAUGCAGCGAUGCCGCGUGAGUGAAGACGGCCUUCGGGUUGUAAAGCUCUGUCGCAGGGGACGAAAAUGACGGUACCCUGCAAGAAAGCUCCGGCUAACUACGUGCAAGCAGCCGCGGUAAUACGUAGGGAGCAAGCGUUGUCCGGAAGUACUGGGUGAAAAGGGAGCGUAGGCGGGGGGAGAAGAUGAAUGGGA
rnacentral:rRNA from 1 species